AAUAAACGUUGGCGGUGCGCCUUAUGCAUGCAAGUCGAACGGGGUUAUGGUCUUCGGAUUGUAACCUAGUGGCGAACGGCUGAGUAACACGUAAGUAACCCGCCUUGGAGUGGGAAAUAACUUGCCGAAAGGCGAACUAAUGUCCCAUGUGGUAAUGAAGCGUGAGUUUCAUUAUUAAAGCUUUCGGGCGCUCCAAGAGGGGCUUGCGUCUGAUUAGCUAGUUGGCAGGGUAAUAGCCUACCAAGGCGAUGAUCAGUAGCUGGUCUGAGAGGAUGGUCAGCCAGAUGGGGACUGAGACACGGCCCCAACUCCUACGGGUGGCUG
rnacentral:rRNA from 1 species